rnacentral:rRNA from 1 species
ACACGGUGACGUGGGGCGGAUCCCUGAAAACCGGUCUCAGUUCGGAUCGCAGUCUGCAACUCGACUGCGUGAAGGUGGAGUCGCUAGUAAUCGCGGAUCAGCAACGCCGCGGUGAAUGCGUUCCCGGGCCUUGUACACACCGCCCGUCAAGUCGUGAAAGUGGGCAGCACCCGAAGACGGUGGCCUAACCCUUGUGGGGGGAGCCGUCUAAGGUGAGGCUCGUGAUUGGGACUAAGUCGUAACAAGGUAGC